rnacentral:rRNA from 1 species
GACGAACGCUGGCGGCGUGCUUAACACAUGCAAGUCGAACGAUGAAGCCGGAGCUUGCUCUGGUGAAUUAGUGGCGAACGGGUGAGUAACACGUGAGUAACCUGCCCUUGACUCUGGGAUAACUGCUAGAAAUGGUAGCUAAUACCGGAUACGACCCUCGGAGGCAUCUCCAGGGGGUGGAAAGAAUUUCGGUCAAGGAUGGACUCGCGGCCUAUCAGCUAGUUGGUGAGGUAACGGCUCACCAAGGCGACGACGGGUAGCCGGCCUGAGAGGGUGGCCGGCCACACUGGGACUGGGAAACGGCCCAGACUCCUACGGGAGGCAGCAGUGGGGAAUAUUGCACAAUGGGCGCAAGCCUGAUGCAGCAACGCCGCGUGAGGGAUGACGGCCUUCGGGUUGUAAACCUCUUUUAGUAGGGAAGAAGCGAAAGUGACGGUACCUGCAGAAAAAGCACCGGCUAACUACGUGCCAGCAGCCGCCGUAA